GUGCAUCCGCGUCCGGAGUUACCGACAACUCCGGCCGCCAAAACCUGCCAAAUUGUAGACGCCGAUUUUCAUGACAGGCGGACGGCGGGAGCGCCCCGCGUGCUCCCCUCGGUUCGCCGCUGCGCCCGCGAGAGGGCGUGGCCUGUGAGUCGGCAGGUGGUCGCUCUCGGAGCAGUGAAAGGGUUACCUUCACUUCUUCCUGCAUUUUUCUGAUUUUCUAGCUUUAAAUCGAACGGGAAACCUGUUGUUUUUUUUUUUAGAAUUAUAGAUCGAUCGUGAACAAAAUCUUAUUGAGUUGUCAUUUUUCUUUCCGUUAAACAUUGCCCUUUGUUGUAAUAAAUGAAGGUAACGUGUGAAGCAAUAGCUGGAAUAACUUUGUAGAGAUAAGAGAGAAUAAUGAAAUAACAACAUAUCUGUUGCUCUUCCGUUUCCCUUUCUCUCUUUGUUAUCUUUCACGUGCUUCGAAUAUUAUAAACUUCUAUUGUAUCUUGAACUUGGCCUGCUGACGAUGUCCAGAGAAACGUCCGAGGUCGUUUGCACCGGACAGCCUUGGCUGUUAAUUCUGGCCAACGGCGGCCUGCGUUUUUGUGAGAAUCGGGCGCACCUUUUAGUCGUCGCGAAUAAAAAUGCGCCGAAGAAAAUGCGAAAUUUACAGCAGCUACAAAAUAACAUUCGUAUUCUUACACAUUUUAAUCUUUAAUUAAUAAGAAAGAAAUUAUUAAUAUAUGGAUUCUUGGUUGCAUCUCGAUAUUUCAGUAAAUUUUGUAUUUGAAACAAAGAAGAAAAAAAUGAAUUUAGACUUUGUUUUCGAAUUAAAAGUUAAUUGAAGAGAACACUUGAAAAAACUAGGCAUCUUAUAACUUUGAUUUUUAAUAAUGUAUAUUGUGAUUUUAAUAUGGAAAUCAGGUAAAAAAACAGGCUGAAGGAAGAUUAAAAUAUGCGUUUUAUAUCUACGAAAAAUCCUCAAUUAUUGGAAUGUAUUUUACAAUUCAAAAUAGCAAUAUAAUUGUAACACAUCGGAAAGAUAAACGACAAGUUGGUACGCUGAAAUAACCACGUGCAAGUCGCGAAGAAAAUUGUCGUUCCGCGUUGCAAAAAGGGACACGUCAGAGAAAUUACUCCGAUUUAUUCUGUCGCAUCGUCUAUAUCGUGAGGAGCACGGAAUUGAAUAUCACAUUAACCAGCAAACCGAGCAGAUAUUGUACCUGUUGCACGGUUGCGCGGGUGUAUCGUUUUGCGGAUAAAGAGCGCGCGUAUUCACGCAACACAUUGUGUGCAUUCGCACGUACAGGGACAAAUAGCAGUUUAAGCUAAAGCGACUGUUAAUUCAUAUACUUUCCCUAUGUAAUCGUACAGCGAGUUAGCGGUGAUGUUAUAAUUGAAGGAAGUACUUUUAAAUCUUUCUUAGCGAUAAAAAAAUACAGUUUUAAAGCACAGAAAAAAAUAUCACGUGAAGAUUCGUCAGUGUUUCUGACAGCUGUAAAUAUUUUAUCGGUUCUAUUUAUAAAAAUAAAUCGUAUCUCUCGCGUAACAAUUUCAAGCCGAAUAAAAGGUGUAGAUUUUUUUCCUAAUACUUUGUAGAAUUGUAAUCUACACUAGAUUAAGAUUUGAUGCGAUUUGCUUAUAGCUGCUUGAACCUGAAGGUCAAUGAUACACGCUACAUGACGCAUAUUUCUUGGAAGUUAUAUAUUCAUGAGUGAAAAUGGAUUACCCGCUCUGAUUCAUCAUACAUUCUAGACAUAUUAUGCGGAAUUUUGAAUAGAUCCGCAUGUGAGAUUAAAUCAAAUUAAGCACGGGAGAACUGCGUUUAAUUGGGUAGAGAUAUCUAAUUGGAUAAGUGCUCAAUUGCUCAGAUGAACAUCCGAUUAAAAGAUUAGAGAAAUCAAAUAAUUAUUUACACAAACAAUUAAAUUAUCUUUUAAGAGAACAUGUAAUACAAAAGAUUUAAUUUUGAAAACUAGAAUGAAAGAAGAUUUCGAAAAAUCUGAUUUGUAUAAAUUCAUAAAAAGUGAAGCGAGAUUUUUUCAAAUGUAUAUAAGUUAUAAAUAAAUUGCUGAACAUUAUCUUGUUUAUUAUAUUGUAACGUUAUAUUAUCGAGUAAAAUCCGACUAGAAAGUAUUUUUAGCUUUAUUUUGUGCCACAAACCAGAAAGGUCCGUACCUUUCCAAACGAUUCUGAUACUUUGUAUCGUAUUAGCCCAUUUGCGAGGUAGAUUUCAAACGGGUUCCCUUAUGUUAUUUUUUUCCUUCACGCUUCGACAAAAUCAUUUGACUCCGAUCGCUAAAAUGCAACUUUCACAAGAAAGAAGCAAAAGAACAAUUACAUAAAACGGAAAACGUACGUGAAGGUUCUGCUUUUGUUUAACGUUAAAUAGCGAAUCGUACUCAUAAUAAAAGAAUCUUUUCUCUUUUUAGGAGCAGUAUCUAUGAAAUUAUUUAUAGAUGUAGAUUUAUAAUGUAGAACGUGAUUAUUUUCUCCUUUUUUCAGGUUUUUUUAAACUUUACAAAAAGAAAGAUCCGGAAUUAAAAGUCUUUCAAAUGAUUAUACGUGUAUCGUGAUACAAAAUAAUUGAUAGUUAAAGUAUAUAACUCAGAAAGGAUGUGCAAUAAAAAGAAAA